CAGAUGUUGAGAUAAUAUCAACAGGAAUCAGUGCUCAUUUGGUUAACUUCUAUUUGUGAUGUGUCCAAAGGCUGCUGAGUGCCCUCUCCUGCUCCGUCAGGCUCACACAAGGGUUGAUCAAGUGUAGGCUGGAAGGCGUGACGCUGGAGGACUUUGGCAGCGAGUGCUUCUGUGUGUCAGCAGCAGGUGUGCCAGCCAGUCAGCUGAGAGGGAGGAAAACAAGAUCUGAGGCCGGCAACGCGUCAGAACUGGGACAAAGACGAGAGAGAAAACAAGGGAGAGCCCCGCUGAAUGACAGAGAUAGGAACCAAUGCAGAAAAGUGGCGCCGAGUGCGGAAGAUGUUGCUUUGAAGCUCGUUCCAGGUGUUUGUGGAUUGCAAAUAUGGCAAAGUAAGAUAGCAGGCAGAGGCAGGAUGAGGCCAGACGUAGGUAAUGACAGGUGUAUUACAGCCAGGUAACUCUGAUUCAGCCUCCCUUUGAUAUCCUGAUCAUCCAGCUGAGUCAUGUAUGAAUGAAAAAAAUCACUUUAUUAUUCAGAUUGUUGUGUCUGAUUCUCUUUCUUCAUCAAAUUAAACUGGAUGUUCUCCUAAAG
ensembl:lncRNA